rnacentral:lncRNA from 1 species
AGAUAAAUCUGUGGAUGAUGUGAUAUUUUGCAUAGAAUUUCUCAAAUUUGGUAUUGUCGACUUGUCGACCAUUGUUGGUGAUGAUCACUCGAGGCAGAUCAAAGCGGUAGAUAAUAGAUUUCCAUAAGAAGUUAGUUGUUUUUAUUUUCAUUAUAUGCACCAGCGGCUCAAUCUCCAUCUACUUGGUGAAGUAGUCGAUGGCCAUGAUGAUG